UACGUAGGGGGCAAGCGUUGUCCGGAAUCAUUGGGCGUAAAGAGCGUGUAGGCGGCCCGGUAAGUCCGCUGUGAAAGUCGGGGGCUCAACCCUCGAAUGCCGGUGGAUACUGUCAGGCUAGAGUCCGGAAGAGGAGAGUGGAAUUCCUGGUGUAGCGGUGAAAUGCGCAGAUAUCAGGAAGAACACCCGUGGCUAAGGCGGCUCUCUAGUACGGUACUGACGCUGAGACGCGAAAGCGUGGGGAGCGAACAGG
rnacentral:rRNA from 1 species